rnacentral:rRNA from 1 species
GACGAACGCUGGCGGCGUGCUUAACACAUGCAAGUCGAACGGAAAGGCCCUGCUUUUGUGGGGUUCUCGAGUGGCGAACGGGUGCGUAACACGUGAGUAUCCUGCCCUUGACUUUGGGAUAACUUCAGGAAACUGGGGCUAAUACCGGAUAGGAGCUCCUGCUGCGUGGUGGGGGUUGGAAAGUUUCGGCGGUUGGGGAUGGACUCGCGGCUUAUCAGCUUGUUGGUGGGGUAGUGGCUGACCAAGGCUUUGACGGGUAGCCGGCCUGAGAGGGUGACCGGCGACAUGGGGACUGAGAUACGGACCAGACUCCUACGGGAGGCAGCAGGGGGGAAUAUUGCACAAUGGGCGGAAGCCUGAUGAAGCAACGCCGCGUGCGGGAUGACGGCCUUCUGGGUGUAAACCGCUUUCGCCUGAGACGAAGCGUGAGUGACGGUAAUGGGUAAAGAAGCACCGGCUAACUACGUG